CUCAUGUUACUGGUGAAAUAACUAUGUUGUUACGUGGAGCCAUCUAUACGAAGAAAUUUGGCGCCAAGUAGUACCUCGAGAGAAUAGCGGCAAACUAAAACUGUACGAUUCUUUAAAUAUUAAUAUUAUUUUAUAUUAAACAAAAAAACAAAAAAAAAAAAACAAAAAAAUACGGGAAAUAUAUUUUCGUAAUAAUAUUGUGUUAAAUAAUAUUGUGUAUCUGGAUUAACAAUAAAAAAAUAAUAAUUAUUGAAGUGAUCAAUAACAUAAAGCGAUAUUUCAAGGUUAUAUCAAAAACGGAAUACAAGAAGAAAGAGUUUGAAUAUUUAUUGAAGAAUAUUAAACAUGUCGCAAGAAAUGAAUAUAUUAUGCUGUUAUUCCUGUCAAAUGUUUCAAAAAAAGCAUCUUGAAAGAUCGGCCAUCCAUCUGCGGUGGUGUCUCGACGCCGGCGAUGUCCAGGAAGGUCGGCGCCAGAUCAAUGUUUAAAACUAUGUCGUCUACUCUGGAACGUUACAUAGACCUUCUAUCGCGACUCGAUGCUUAAAGGUAGCACUUAGGGGUAUUUGCUUUAUAAACCAAGAUCCAUUACUCAAUCGUAAGAAGAAGAGGAGGAAUAAGGAGAAGAAAAAGAAGAUGAAGAUGAAGAAGAAGAAGAAGAAGAAGAAGGACGUGCAUUGAAUCGUUUCUCUUCAGUCUCUCUUUAUCCCUCAGUCAAUUUCCACAACGAUUAGUCGCAAAAACCAAUGAAGAUAGAAGUAACAACGCGACACAAGGAGAAUCACGGUCUGACUCGACAUGGAUUUAUACUCGAAAGUAUCUAUGUAUACAUGUACCACGUUAAAACGAUGUUCUUGCUGAUGCUCUACCAUCUCUUCUAUCAAUAUGAGUAAAAAUGUGUAUUGGUAUUAUUACUACUACUACUACUAGUAUUAUUAUUAUUAUUACUACUACUACUACUAUCAUUACCAUUACCACUACAACCAAUACAACAGUCGCGGACCACUUUUCUCAUCACGCUCGGUUUCACGGUCCAGCAGGAUAAUUUAUAGCGUACCAAGACUCUUUAUGGCGGACCGCGAAACCGUAAUUCCAGAAGACGUUCCAGACAACGGGCACUUACGUGCAAGUGCUCUAUUUAUUGCCGUGAAAUCUCGCUAAGGGAACGAGCAGAUUGUAUUUCUAUAUAUAUAGAUAUAUAUAUAUAUAUAUACAUGUAUACUAUGUCUGGAUAUACGAUCGACCUAACGAAUUAAGGAGUAAAUAGAUCUUACGCCUUUAACGAUCCUGUUCGAUGAUUAAAAAACGAGGUGUUCCUUUCUUUUUAGUAUCGUUAAUAAAAUUACAAAGCAACUGAACGUAAUGAUCCUUGUAAUUAUUCCAAAUUGAUCUAAAACUUACACGGAUCCAGGUUCUAUGCCGGGUCCUCUUAUGAGAAAAGGUACUCUGACGUCAAACUCGAAUGGGAAGCUUUUGCCUUUGAUAAGACCAAAUUGUCCCAAGUGAUAACCAUGGUCGGAUGUAUAAAUUAUGUAAGUAUUGUCCAGCUCUCCCAAAUCUUUCAAUUCCUGAUAGAUCUGUAGUUACAGGAAUAAUAUUAUUCUUUUAGAUAUUUAUGUUUUGUCUUUUCCUUUUUGGUUCUUUUUUUUUUCUUCCUUUUCUUCUUUGUACGUAUAUAUAAACAAACUCACUCUAUCGACCGCUGCGUCGACACUCUGCAAAGUCUGCAGUCUCUUGGUCAUCAAGAGAUCCGUAAACUGUUUGUGUAUAGGCUGCAUCUUCUGAGUGACUUGGAGAAUCCACUGUUUGUCUGGAUUCGGUGCAUAAUCAUAAGCUGGCGUACUGUAAGAGUAACAGAGAGAGUGAGAGAGUGUAAGUAUCCGUGUCUGUGUAUGUGUGUGUAUGUGUGUGUGUGAAAAAGAGAAAGAGAAGAUCAGAGAAAUUCUUAGGAGGUACGAAUGUUUGCGAAAUCGGGGUCGACCACCCUGCUAAGAUUUAACUUGAUGUUGACUCUAGGGAGAAAGAUCAUUUUAUAUGUAUACUUACUGAUGAGUGGUGACGUUGAAAAAGAGAUGCGAGAAUUGCGGCGCGGAAUCUUCUGGUCCAUGAGGCGCCGGAAAGCUUGCAACCAACAUUACCGGUUUGCGAGCGAAAUUAUGCUUGCUCUGCCGUAGAAACGCAACGCUAUCGUUAGCUAUUAAAUCCGGAUAAUAGUCCUUGCUAUAUUCGAAGCCGUGCUUUAUCUUCUUCCCGUUCAUGUUGACGCUGUAGUUGUAGUAUCUCGAGUUCAUUAUCAGACCACCCCAUUCCCGCCAGCCAGGCGGUAUGUACGAGCCGUUGUACUUGUUCAAAUAUUUACCGAAGUAUCCUGGAAACAGGGUAAAGAGAAUGAGUAAAACGCGUUAAUAAUGUUAAUUAAUCUCAUGCGUUCUCUAAAGAGGAACGAGAAAAUUUAUUAUUAUCUUUUAUCCGGUUCGUUUGUCCCUUCAAAUUAAAACGUGAAAAUUGACUUUUGUCAAAAACAAUGAUAAAAAAAAAAAAAAAAAAAAAAAAAAAAGAACAAAAUGAAAAUAAACGAAAAUAAUAAAUAAAUAAAUAAAAUCGAACAAUUCGCCUCGUUGCUCCUUCGUUCUUUCUUUUUUUUUCUUUUUCUUUUAUUUUCUUUGUUUACAUCGAAAAAAAGAUAAUUUGAUUUGUCACUUGGUGCCAAUCGGUAAAACUGGUCAAGAAUAAUCAUCGACCUCCCACACCUAUUCCUCUCUCUCUCUCUCCCUCUCUCUCUCUCUCUCUCUCUCUCUCUCUCUCUUUCUCUGAAUUGAAUUAUUCAUGUCUGAGAGAGGGAGAUCGCUACAAAAUAAUUAAUUCAAACGUAGUACGCGAGGUCGCCUCUUUUGGGUUGCAACGACCGCUCGUAUAUAUUUAUUAGCCUUCGUCGUUCCUCCUCUAUACACUUCGAAGUAUUAUAGUGUUCGAUAUAUAUCGAUACUAUUAUUUCUUUUUUUCUUCGCCGACAAAAUUACACAGGAAGGAUUUCGGUCGAGACAACUUUUUACAACGAGAGAGAAAAAAGAGAGAGAGAGAGAGAGAGAGAGAGAGAGAGAGAGAGAGAGAGAGAGAGAGAAAGAGAGCAU